GAUGAACGCUGGCGGCGUGCCUAAUACAUGCAAGUCGAGCGAACAGACCAGGCGUUUGCUCCUCUGACGUUAGCGGCCGACGGGUGAGUCCCACGUGGACAACCUACCUAUAAGACUGGGAUAACUUCGGGAGACCGGCGCUAAUAGCGGAUAAUAUAUUGAACCGCAUUGUGCAAUCGUGAAAGACGGUAUUUCGGUCACUUAUAGCUUGAUACGCGCCGCAUUAGUUAGUUGGUAAGGUAAUGGCUUACCGAGGCAACGAUGCGUAGCCGACCUGAGCGGGUGGUCGGCCAGACGGGAAGAGAGACACGGUCCAGACUCCGACGGGAAGCAGCAGUAGGGAAUCUUCCGCAAUGGGCGAGAGGCUGACGGAGCAACGCCGCGUGAGUGAUGAAGGAGCUCGGAUCGGAAAACGCUGUUAGUAGGGGAGAACAAAUGUGCAAUUAGCUAUGCAGGUCUUGACGGUACCUGAUGAAAAAGCCACGGCUAACUACGUG
rnacentral:rRNA from 1 species